rnacentral:rRNA from 1 species
GACGAACGCUGGCGGCGUGCUUAACACAUGCAUGUCGAACGGAAAGGCCCUGCUUUUGUGGGGUGCUCGAGUGGCGAACGGGUGAGUAACACGUGAGUAACCUGCCCUUGACUUUGGGAUAACUUCAGGAAACUGGGGCUAAUACCGGAUAGGAGCUCCUGCUGCAUGGUGGGGGUUGGAAAGUUUCGGCGGUUGGGGAUGGACUCGCGGCUUAUCAGUUUGUUGGUGGGGUAGUGGCUUACCAAGGCUUUGACGGGUAGCCGGCCUGAGAGGGUGACCGGCCACGUUGGGACUGAGAUACGGCCCAGACUCCUACGGGAGGCAGCAGUGGGGAAUAUUGCACAAUGGGCGGAAGCCUGAUGCAGCAACGCCGCGUGCGGGAUGACGGCCUUCGGGUUGUAAACCGCUUUCGCCUGUGACGAAGCGUGAGUGACGGUAAUGGGUAAAGAAGCACCGGCUAACUACGUGCCAGCAGCCGCGGUGAUACGUAGGGUGCGAGCGUUGUCCGGAUUUAUUGGGCGUAAAGGGCUCGUAGGUGGUUGAUCGCGUCGGAAGUGUAAUCUUGGGGCUUAACCCUGAGCGUGCUUUCGAUACGGGUUGACUUGAGGAAGGUAGGGGAGAAUGGAAUUCCUGGUGGAGCGGUGGAAUGCGCAGAUAUCAGGAGGAACACCAGUGGCGAAGGCGGUUCUCUGGGCCUUUCCUGACGCUGAGGAGCGAGAGCGUGGGGAGCGAACAGGCUUAGAUACCCUGGUAGUCCACGCUGUAAACGGUGGGUACUAGGUGUGGGGUCCAUUCCACGGGUUCCGUGCCGUAGCUAACGCUUUAAGUACCCCGCCUGGGGAGUACGGCCGCAAGGCUAAAACUCAAAGGAAUUGACGGGGCCCCGCACAAGCGGCGGAGCAUGCGGAUUAAUUCGAUGCAACGCGUAGAACCUUACCUGGGUUUGACAUGGAUCGGGAGUGCUCAGAGAUGGGUGUGCCUCUUUUGGGGUCGGUUCACAGGUGGUGCAUGCCUGUCGUCAGCUCGUGUCGUGAGAUGUUGGGUUAAGUCCCGCAACGAGCGCAACCCUUGUUCACUGUUGCCAGCACGUUAUGGUGGGGACUCAGUGGAGACCGCCGGGGUCAACUCGGAGGAAGGUGGGGAUGACGUCAAGUCAUCAUGCCCCUUAUGUCCAGGGCUUCACGCAUGCUACAAUGGCUGGUACAGAGAGUGGCGAGCCUGUGAGGGUGAGCGAAUCUCGGAAAGCCGGUCUCAGUUCGGAUUGGGGUCUGCAACUCGACCUCAUGAAGUCGGAGUCGCUAGUAAUCGCAGAUCAGCAACGCUGCGGUGAAUACGUUCCCGGG